UACGUAGGUGGCAAGCGUUGUCCGGAUUUACUGGGCGUAAAGAGCGCGCAGGCGGUCGUUCAAGUCGCGUGUGAAAGCCCCCGGCUCAACUGGGGAGGGUCACGCGAUACUGAUCGACUCGAAGGCAGGAGAGGGAAGUGGAAUUCCCGGUGUAGUGGUGAAAUGCGUAGAUAUCGGGAGGAAUACCGAUGGCGAAGGCAGGUCCCUGGGUUGACACUGACGCUCAUGCACGAAAGCGUGGGGAGCAAACAGG
rnacentral:rRNA from 1 species